rnacentral:rRNA from 1 species
UCAGUAACACGUAGGUCAACAUGCCCACAGUGUGACCGUGGACUAACCUCGUGGAAACUGACGGACUAAACCGCGAUACAGUCACUACUUCUGGAAUGGGUAAUGACUCAAAUCUAUAUGGCCCCUGGAUUGGACUGCGGCCUGAUCAGUGCUGUUGGUGAGGUAAUGGCCCACCAAACCUGUAACCUGGUACGGGCUCUGAGAGGAGGAGCCCGGAGAUGGGCACUGAGACAAGGGCCCAGUGCCCUAUGGGGCGCAGCAGGCGCGAAACCUCUGCAAUAGGCGAAAGCUUGACAGUGGUUACUCUGAGUGAUUUCCGUUAAGGAGAUCUUUUGGCACCUCUAAAAAUGGUAGCAGAAUAAGUGGGUGGGCAAAGUCUGGUGCCAG